GACAUAGGAAAACCCAGCCAGCCAACUGCUGGGCAGAGAUAUUUUGCCAAGGGUUGCUGAGGAGUACCUGCCCCCCCUCCUCUGCCCCCAUUGCAGGAAACACAAGGGCUUGGAGCCAUUGGCACAAUAAAUGGGAAAGUGUGAAGGCUGGCCAGCCUGGGCUGGAGGGCAAACCGGGAGAUGAACUUAACUGACCGGCUCCUGGACCAAAGGGCAGGGGUUGCAUUUCCUUCAGCUCUAGCUUCCUGGCAGUUGGUGCAGUUGGGUCUUAUCCUUUCACAUGAGGCCAGAGAGGAGGCUGAUGAUUUGUAGGAACAUAUCCUGAAUUUCGGGAGUAGACAGCUCUGGCAGUCCAUGCUCUUACCAAACUUUGCAGCAGGUGGAGGUGUCUUUCUCCAUGAAUCGCCCUCUGGGACACGCCUUCUCACAGUUCGGACAAGAUCCGCUGCCUCUAAGAAAGGCUUGCAUACCUUCUGAAGCCGUCUCUGCCGUUAGCCUGCUCCACCCAGUCUCUGUGUGAAACUGUGUGAAAGAUAGAGUGAAGCUUUUUGCUUUCCCAGCAUCCUGUACCCCAAUAGGGUCAGGAGAGCCGAGCAAACCUUUCCAGGUAUGGAGGUGGCACCGGUCCCCCUGGCUGGCUUCUGUGGGGCCUGUUUGCAGGAGGCCACUUUCAAAGAAAAACCGUACUAGGGAAAUGUGGGUGGCCUUCAAGAGUCAGGAAUGGACUUCCAGGAAUUACCUAUUGAUUUUGUUAAGUGCAUGGCUCAUGAAAAAAUGCAAGAGAAAGCCAGAGGCGCAGACUAAGCAGGGUCACGUGUGUGAGAGAAAGGUGGCGUAGCCCUUGACCGUGUUACUCUCUCUUUCUAGGUGAUGUUCUCCUCCGAAGGCCCCAGCGAUCCAGGUAAUGUUACUCUCUCUUUCUAGGUGAUGUUCUCCUUUGAAGGCCCCAGCGAUCCAGGUAAUGAUCACACCUGACUGGGUGGUGGUUGUGGGAGAGUGAGAGAAAGGAAGAAUUCCUAGGCUCAUGGUUACGUGUGUGGACACUUUGCAUCGUUCCCAACCUCCGGCAACCCCAGUAUU
rnacentral:lncRNA from 1 species